UACAGAGGUCUCAAGCGUUUGUUCGGAUUCAUUGGGCGUAAAGGGUGCGUAGGCGGCGCGGUAAGUCGGGUGUGAAAUCUCGGGGCUUAACUCCGAAACUGCAUUCGAUACUGCCGUGCUUGAGGACUGGAGAGGAGACUGGAAUUUACGGUGUAGCGGUGAAAUGCGUAGAUAUCGUAAGGAAGACCAGUGGCGAAGGCGGGUCUCUGGACAGUUCCUGACGCUGAGGCACGAAGGCCAGGGGGAGCAAAACGGGG
rnacentral:rRNA from 1 species